rnacentral:rRNA from 1 species
AUCAGUAAGCGGAGGAAAAGAAACUAACAAGGAUUCCCUCAGUAGCGGCGAGCGAACAGGGAAGAGCCCAGCACCGAACCUCGCUUCAGGAUCUCCGAUCUGGGGCCGAGGAAUGUGGUGUUUGGGAGGACCAUGACCGCCUGUCCGGCUUUCGUCCAAGUCUCCAUGAACGGGGCGAGCAACCCAUAGAGGGUGUCAGGCCCGUGGUAUUGGCGAGUCGCGACCGUGGUAGAGGUCUCUCCUUGGAGUCGGGUUGCUUGAGAGUGCAGCUCUAAGCGGGAGGUAAACUCCUUCUAAGGCUAAAUACGGCCACGAGACCGAUAGCGAACAAGUACCGCGAGGGAAAGUUGAAAAGAACUUUGAAGAGAGAGUUCAAGAGUGCGUGAAACCGUUUGGAGGGUAAAACGGGUGGGCGCUCGAAGAUCGAACGAUCCUUACUCCCGCCAUCUGCACGCCAGUCUCUUGUAGAUCCUAACGUGUGCCCACGUCUUCACGGAUGUGUGUUUUGCCACGGGUCUUGCAGGAGUUCACUGGCGGCCGUGCAGGGGCCGCAAGUUUGGGAUCUAGUAGGACUCCGCAACCGUCUGGAUAGACGUCAAACGGGAACCUUCUUGAGUAUUCCACGGCUUGUCGUUCCGUUUCGGCGGUUAACUUCAAGCGGGGAGUGUUUCCUGACGUUCUAGUCCGGACGUUAUCACCUGUUCGGAGAUGUGGAAAAGAAUUUUCUUUUCCACGUCCCAACAGCGGAGAGUAGAAUAGUCGGUUCCCACCCGACCCGUCUUGAAACACGGACCAAGGAGUCUAACAUGUGCGCGAGUCUUCGGGUCAAGUUAAACCUUGCGAAGGCGAAAUGAAAGUGAAUACUGGCCGAGGUAGAUGAAAUGCUCCUCGUUUUGCCGAGGGAGGAUCCCGUCCUCCAUCGUGAGGAUCGGGCGCACUCCCGGGGCGUCGUACGUCCGCGUUGACGGUCUGACGAACCAAGAGCGCACACGUUGGGACCCGAAAGAUGGUGACCUAUGCCUGGCCAGGACGAAGCCAGGGGAAACCCUGGUGGAGGUCCGCAGCGAUUCUGACGUGCAAAUCGAUCGUCGGAGUUGGGUAUAGGGGCGAAAGACUAAUCGAACCAUCUAGUAGCUGG